rnacentral:rRNA from 1 species
UACGGGGGGGGCAAGCGUUGUUCGGAAUUACUGGGCGUAAAGGGCCAGUAGGCGGCCAACUAAGUCGGAUGUGAAAUCCCCAGGCUCAACCUGGGAACUGCAUCCGAUACUGGAUGGCUUGAAUUCGGGAGAGGGAUGCAGAAUUCCAGGUGUAGCGGUGAAAUGCGUAGAUAUCAGGAGGAACACCGGUGGCGAAGGCGGGUCUCUGGGCCGGUAUUGACGCUGAGGCGCGAAAGCCAGGGAGCAAACGGG